rnacentral:rRNA from 1 species
CCCUUAGAUGUCCUGGGCCGCACGCGCGCUACACUGACAUGUUCAACAAGCCUCCUAGUUCGACAGGAUUUGGGAAAUCUUUGAACGCAUGUCGUGAUAGGGAUAGAUCAUUGCAAUUAUUGAUCUUGAACGAGGAAUUCCUAGUAAACGCGAGUCAUCAGCUCGCAUUGAUUACGUCCCUGCCCUCUGUACACACCGCCCGUCGCACCUACCGAUUGAAUGUUUCGGUGAAGAUUCCGGAUAGGACUUUUUUGAUUUAUUUCAAUUUUGUCUUAAAAGCUAUCUAAACCUCAACAUUUAGAGGAAGGUGAAGUCGUAACA